rnacentral:rRNA from 1 species
GUCCCAAGGAGAGACCGAAAGGUGUAUCCGAUGGCCAACAGGUUGAUAUUCCUGUACUAGAGUAUAUAGUGAUGGAGGGACGCAGUAGGCUAACUAAACCGGACGAUUGGAAGAGUCCGGCUAAGCAGUGAGGUGUAAGAUGAGUCAAAUGCUUAUCUUUAUAACAUUGAGCUGUGAUGGGGAGCGAAUUUUAGUAGCGAAGUUAGUGAUGUCACACUGCCAAGAAAAGCUUCUAGCGUUUAAUGAUACUCUACCCGUACCGCAAACCGACACAGGUAGUCGAGGCGAGUAGCCUCAGGUGAUCGAGAGAACUCUCGUUAAGGAACUCGGCAAAAUGACCCCGUAACUUCGGGAGAAGGGGUGCUGACUUAGGUCAGCCGCAGUGAAUAGGCCCAAGCAACUGUUUAUCAAAAACACAGCUCUCUGCUAAAUCGUAAGAUGAUGUAUAGGGGGUGACGCCUGCCCGGUGCUGGAAGGUUAAGAGGAGGGUUUAGCGCAAGCGAAGAUCUGAAUUGAAGCCCCAGUAAACGGCGGCCGUAACUAUAACGGUCCUAAGGUAGCGAAAUUCCUUGUCGGGUAAGUUCCGACCCGCACGAAAGGCGUAAUGAUUUGGGCACUGUCUCAACGAGAGACUCG